GACAGUGAAGGUCACUCCUGCAGGGCAGCGGAGAUGCAGCACUGGGGCCCAACGCAGCCCAAGCACGCACCGCACUUCACUGCAGAUCCCUGAGGCUCCCAAGGGCGUCGUGCCCCGCAGUACUCUUAAGUUAUUUCGUGGAAACCUACUCCGAAGGUGGCCCUGUGGUGUUCCUGAGUGUGCCUCGGGUGCGUCCAGAUGGGCCUGGGCUACAGCUUCCAGCAAACCCUUCAGCAAGUGCACUAUGCUUUCUGCCACAUCCAGGACCACAGACCAAGAGUGACUUGCACCUGCUCCCGAGCCUGAGUCCAGGGAGGAGAUGACAGGAGGGGUAGACACUAGGCACCGGGAUGCUAGAGGAUGAUAAUGUACUGCAGAGUCCAAAAAGCUAAGAGAAAGCUUUUGUUUUCUUUUGUUUUAAGAGAUUAGGUCUUGGCUGAGUGUGGUGGUGAUGCACACCUGUAAUCCCAGCACUCUGCUAGGAUGAGGCAGGAGGAUCCCAAGUUCUAGCCCAGCCCUGGCAAUUUGGCAAUUUAGAGAGACCCUAUCUCAAAAUAAAAAUUAAAAAUGAAAAAGGCUGGGAAGGUAACUCAGGUGAAGACCUUGGGUUUCAUCUCCAGUACUGCAAGAGAAGAGGAAGAGUGGGAGAGACAGACAGACAGACAGACAGACAGACACUGUGUUACCCCUGCUGGCUUAGGCUCAAAGAUCCUCUUGUUCCAGCUUCCCGUGUAACUGGAAUCCAAGGGAGUCAGCUGCACCUGGUCAGAAAAUCUUCACAAGCUCCUUCUCAAGAGGAUGCGUAACUGUCGCCUCCACAUCACCGAGGACGAGGAUCUGAGACCUGAGACCUGUGCCCAAGUUUGUCUGGCAUCCUGCACCUGACAUGGAAGAAGCGUGGGUUGACGGGCCUCGGGAACCUGAUGGGGACAAGAGACAGAACUAGAAGCACUGAUCCACUUGUCUGAGCCCUCAGAUGGAGUCCAGAAGGGCUGAGCUGUGGGCAUGGGCUGAGUGUUGGGGGACACCAGGAUCUGUCCAGUAAGCCUGAUGCCCGCCUUCCUGAGGGGGGUCCUGAGCAGCUCUUUGGCUGGGAGAGAGACCGGAACUUCAUUUGCAGAACUCUGUGCUGUUGUUUGAGAAAGCACUCACUGCCAUCAUCUCUGUCCAAGACCUGGCAAUGAGGCUGCCAUGGUUGGCACCUGGCUCAAAGACCCUAGGAGAAAAGACAGCGGAGUGGGAAAGCGGUGGUAGUGGAGGAUGUCGGGGAUGCUGUGACCUGUGCGGGACAUGAAGCUGCUUCUGCUGGGGAGGCCCCAGGAGCAGCAUGGAGCACCUCCCUGGUGACCCUACCCAGGCUCUGCUGCCAUCAGGGCUGCUCCUAAAGGGGUCGGAUCUCAGCCCACUGUGCUCUGUGCUGGGGUCUCAGCAUGGUAGGGAGCACGACCCAGGUGUCACAGUGUGUGUGACAGCCAGAAACUAUUCCAGCUUGCCCAGAACUAAAGGGAUUUAUCUAAGCCAUGGGGGAAGAGCAAUUUAGCAGACUAAAGCCCACCUGUUACCUGGCAUGUGCUUAGCAAGCUCAAGGCCCCAGAUUCGAGUAUUUAGAAUUAAAUAAAACAAACAAAACAACAAAGCCAAAA